AUACGGAGGAUCCGAGCGUUAUCCGGAUUUAUUGGGUUUAAAGGGUGCGCAGGCGGCCAUUUAAGUCAGCGGUUAAAUCGUGGGGCUCAACCCCAUUCUGCCGUUGAUACUGGGUGGCUUGAUUGCGGUCGAGGUUGGCGGAAUUCGUUGUGUAGCGGUGAAAUGCAUAGAUAUGACGAAGAACACCGAUUGCGUAGGCAGCUGACCAGACCGCAAAUGACGCUCAUGCACGAAAGUGCGGGGAUCGAACAGGAUUAGAUACCCUGGUAGUCCGCACAGUAAACGAUGAAUACUUGUUUUCGGCGAUAUAAUGUCGGAGGCAAAGCGAAAGCGAUAAGUAUUCCACCUGGGGAGUACGCCGGCAACGGUGAAACUUAAAGGAAUGGACGGGG
rnacentral:rRNA from 1 species